CCUCUACACACUGCUUUAAAUGUGUCCCAAAGCUUGUGCAUUCAUCAUGUAGUUCUCAUGCCACGGUUUUCAGCUCCAUCAGGUCAUUUAAGGACUUCUCUACAUUGGUUAUUCUAGUUAGAAAUGUCAUAAUGGAGUAUCAAUGCAUAUUGAAAUGACCCUUUGCUCAUUCAUUUAACAGCUUUACUCUUGGCCCCUUUUAUGUUCUGGGUAAUUUUCACAUAC
rnacentral:lncRNA from 1 species